AUGGAGAACAAGUCACCACCUAAUCAAUUGGUUGAAGUAUCUAAGAGAAUUUUAAAAAUAUGUGGGGGAGUUCCGCUAGCUAUCCUUGCGAUAGGUAGCUUGCUGUCUAGUGAAAAGGGAAGAGCACAUACACAUGAGUAUUGGUCCAAGGUGUACAAAUCCAUCAGUUCGGGGCUAGACAAUAAUCAUGAUGAUGUGAAGAACAUGAGGAGAAUAUUAUCUGAGGUCAUGGAAGCGAUGAAGCUUGCAAUGUGGUGCUUACAGGUUGACAGCAGCAGAAGGCCCUUGAUGUCAACGGUCGCAAAGGUGUUGGAACGCGCGACCAGCUUGGAGGCUGCACCCGACUACAGCUUUGUCCCUAGUUUUGUAUCAAAUUGUGCUAGUGGCGCAGGGACAACUUCUUCCUAUGUGCCAUCAGAAUCGCAUUUAUGA
rnacentral:rRNA from 1 species